rnacentral:rRNA from 1 species
UAACACGUAGGGGGCGAGCGUUGUCCGGAUUUAUUGGGCGUAAAGAGCUCGUAGGCGGCUCGGUAAGUGAGGUGUGAAAACUCCAGGCUCAACCUGGAGACGCCACCUCAUACUGCCGUGGCUAGAGUCCGGUAGGGGAGCAUGGAAUUCCUGGUGUAGCGGUGAAAUGCGCAGAUAUCAGGAGGAACACCAGUGGCGAAGGCGGUGCUCUGGGCCGGAACUGACGCUGAGGCGCGAAAGCUAGGGGAGCAAACG